rnacentral:rRNA from 1 species
GCUGGGUGGAUUAGUGGCGAACGGGUGAGUAACACGUGAGUAACCUGCCCCCGACUCUGGGAUAAGCCCGGGAAACUGGGUCUAAUACCGGAUAUUACCUUUGACCGCAUGGUUGUUGGUGGAAAGAUUUAUCGGUGGGGGAUGGACUCGCGGCCUAUCAGCUUGUUGGUGAGGUAAUGGCUCACCAAGGCGACGACGGGUAGCCGGCCUGAGAGGGUGACCGGCCACACUGGGACUGAGACACGGCCCAGACUCCUACGGGAGGCAGCAGUGGGGAAUAUUGCACAAUGGGCGAAAGCCUGAUGCAGCGACGCCGCGUGAGGGAUGACGGCCUUCGGGUUGUAAACCUCUUUCAGUAGGGAAGAAGCGAAAGUGACGGUACCUGCAGAAGAAGCGCCGGCUAACUACGUGCCAGCAGCCGCGGUAAUACGUAGGGCGCAAGCGUUAUCCGGAUUUAUUGGGCGUAAAGAGCUCGUAGGCGGUUUGUCGCGUCUGCCGUGAAAGUCCGAGGCUCAACCUCGGAUCUGCGGUGGGUACGGGCAGACUAGAGUGAUGUAGGGGAGACUGGAAUUCCUGGUGUAGCGGUGAAAUGCGCAGAUAUCAGGAGGAACACCGAUGGCGAAGGCAGGUCUCUGGGCAUUUACUGACGCUGAGGAGCGAAAGCAUGGGGAGCGAACAGGAUUAGAUACCCUGGUAGUCCAUGCCGUAAACGUUGGGCACUAGGUGUGGGGGACAUUCCACGUUUUCCGCGCCGUAGCUAACGCAUUAAGUGCCCCGCCUGGGGAGUACGGCCGCAAGGCUAAAACUCAAAGGAAUUGACGGGGGCCCGCACAAGCGGCGGAGCAUGCGGAUUAAUUCGAUGCAACGCGAAGAACCUUACCAAGGCUUGACAUGUGCCAGACCGCCUCAGAGAUGGGGUUUCCCUUCGGGGCUGGUUCACAGGUGGUGCAUGGUUGUCGUCAGCUCGUGUCGUGAGAUGUUGGGUUAAGUCCCGCAACGAGCGCAACCCUCGUUCCAUGUUGCCAGCACGUAAAGGUGGGGACUCAUGGGAGACUGCCGGGGUCAACUCGGAGGAAGGUGGGGAUGACGUCAAAUCAUCAUGCCCCUUAUGUCUUGGGCUUCACGCAUGCUACAAUGGCCGGUACAAUGGGUUGCGAUACUGUGAGGUGGAGCUAAUCCCUAAAAGCCGGUCUCAGUUCGGAUUGGGGUCUGCAACUCGACCCCAUGAAGUCGGAGUCGCUAGUAAUCGCAGAUCAGCAACGCUGCGGUGAAUACGUUCCCGGGCCUUGUACACACCGCCCGUCAAGUCACGAAAGUUGGUAACACCCGAAGCCGAUGGCCUAA